GCGGUCGUGGUGGAAUUGGCAGACACGUACGUUUGAGGGGCGUAUGCGCGAGCAUGUGGGUUCAAGUCCCACCGUCCGCACCA
rnacentral:tRNA from 3 species